GCGCUCAUAGCUCAGCUGGAUAGAGCACUUGGCUACGAACUAAGGGGUCGGGAGUUCGAAUCUCUCGUGAGCGCACCA
rnacentral:tRNA from 1 species